GCAACACCUCGUUUGGAUC
rnacentral:snRNA from 1 species